ACGCUGUGGAAGCAGUGGCGAGAGGUGUGAGUUGCCUCUCUCUCUCUGUUUCCUGUCUUCGCGCUUGCUGCGGGCGGUUUCCUUGCAUUUCCGUCGUGUCAAUCAUUUUCUUUUAGAUUAUUAUAUCAGUUUGCUCUAAUUCGCCCACGCGAUGCUUGCGACCUUCGGCGUCCUGCCUUUGGUCACACUUCUGACAGGCGUGACCUGUGGAAGCCACGGGUCACCAGUGCGACCAGAGGUAGACAUUAUCUUCGACGACCAGUUCCCGCUACUGCGAAAGUUUCCCGCGCUGUACCGACAGGGAGACGACCAGAUUAUAGAGCCGAAGGAAUUGAGGUCCUCCUCGGCUGGAGAAGGACCUCUGCCAGAUACACAAACGCUGAGGAAGGUCAUGGACGCCUGCUGGAGGGUCCUCUGGUACUAUCGAGGCCACGUGGCUCAGAUGAACCUCGAUGCUGUCAUUGGAACUCGCAUCGCAGAAGCGCAGUUCCAGAUGGUCUCGGACGCUCUGCAAGACCAGCUUGCAACAAGAAACUCCGAGGCCAUGCAAGAAACCUUGUCGUCUCUACUUGACCUCCGUGACCUCGCCUCCCAGGUCAACAACGAGGCUGAACCUGCUGUAAUGACCUCAGAACCGGAAUACUAUGGGCAGUUGGGCAAAAUGUUGGCCAAAGGGUUCUGGGAGGUCCCUCUGGUCACGCGCCGUGAACACCUCCGCUCAACGGGAUAUUUUCGAUCCAGCUUCGCGUCGUGUCCUGGACGAGGUGGAACAGCUGCUGGAGUUCCAGUCCGACAAGUGCCUGGCAGAGGAGUUCGGCACAUCGUGUCUGUACCGAAGCGAAGGCAGACACAGCGCGGAGGAGUGUGGGCGGUGCAGCAUCAGUGAGGAGUGCUGGAGGCGGAUGACCAAGCCGGGCUAUUCUGGCUACUCCCUUACCCACCAGGCCUUCUACAUCAUCAUUGGACUGCAGACCGGAUGCGGAGAGAAGGUGCAGCUCCUGACGCGGAGGACGACGGGCGGGGCCAGCGUGCGAGACCUCCUGGAUCGCAUCUGCGCCGACGUGCUCACGGAGGCGCAGGUCAUCGCGCAGGCCGGAUUCCCGCAACACCGCC
rnacentral:misc_RNA from 1 species